UUCCAUCGUCGUCAUCUUCUCAGCCCUCUGUCGUCAUCAUCUUCUCAGCUCUGUCGUCGUCGUCAUUCUCUCAGCUCUACCAUUGUCGUCAUCCUCUUAGCUAUGUCGUCGCCGUCAUCCUCUCAGAUUCGCUGUCGUCAUCCUCUCAACUCCACUGUUCUUAUUCCGCGGUCAUCUCAUCCACCGUUGUCCUUCAUCUUAUGAUCUCAUAGUGCUAGGGUUAAUCUAACAUUUCCCGAUCUAGUCAAUUCUGGUGUUUCACCUGAUAUACCUCGAGGAAGCUACGUAGAUUCACCAGAGAUUGCUAAGAAAAUCAGAUUAUCCACUGUGCUUUCUCUAGAUCUGUGAAAUUCUCAGCCAUCAAUCAAACGUUUGAGUUUGAGGUGUCCACCUGGGAAUACGACGACGCUUGUGAUAAGUAUUAACUAGGGUUCUACAAGGGAGGAUGUGACUCUGGGUGUUGUGAAUUUCUUAAAAGAUGAAUUUUUCAGUGGAGUUUAUAUCCGGCCUUGAUUUGUUUCGCAAGUGGGAGCAAAUACACCUUUUGUGAUCUUUGAUCUAAAAGGAUGCUUGUUGGUCUGGAAGAAGAGUUAUCUAUACGCUUAGAAGGAGUGACAGGAGCCACAAUUCUAUGUGGCAUUUCUAUUAGAAAGGAUGCCACAGUUUCUUUCAUGUUGCUUUCUUAUCUCUUUUGAUUCUUCGACAAGAUGUUUUGUCUCCCUUUUUAUCUUAUAUGUGAGAAAUAUGGUUUCAUAUGGUGCUUGAGAGCCAUAAAACUAUAGGUAUAUCGUUUCAUGUCUCCUUUUGUUUUGUUUUGUAUGAUUUUACCAACCAACAUAGUAGUUAGACAUAUCGUGUAUGAAAAACAAAAGGUAAAUAGUUUCAUGUCUUUUUUUGGUUUUGUUUUGUUUUAUAUGAUUUUCUUCUUU